CCCGCUGAACUUAAGCAUAUCACUAAGCGGAGGAAAAGAAAUUAACUAAGAUUGCCUCAGUAACGGCGAGUGAAGCGGCAAAAGCCCAAACUGGAAAUCUGCACUCUUCGGGUGCCGAAUUGUAAUCUAGAGGGUGGAAGCUUACCUAGCAGUGACGCAGAAGUGCCUUAGAACGGGCCGCCCGAGAGGGUGACAGCCCCGUAUGUGGUGUCAGUGCUUACCGAGCUCUGCUCUAAGAGUCGGGUUGUUUUGAAUUGCAGCCCUAAUCCGGGAGAUAGACUUCUUCUAAGGCUAAAUAUAUAUGGGAAACCGAUAGCGAACAAGUACUGUGAAGGAAAGAUGAAAAGAACUUUGAAAAGAGAGUCAAAAGACUUGAAAUCGUUGAGAAGGAAGCGGUAGAAAUUUAUUCUUCUGUUGGGAAUGAAGGUGUUCGGCUCGCGUAUCGGCGUUUGUUAGUACGUCAAAGGCUACGGGUGUCGCGUGCGUGACUGAUAGCUGGAUUCCCUGCAGUGAGGCAAAAUGAGGUUUCGUUCCUACAAAAGCUUUGCAAAUCUCGGUGGCUUCGGUUAUCAGUUUGCAUUAGUUAGUAGGCGCGGAGCCUGAGGAAGCUUUGUGCGAUUUUGCCAAAAUGGUUUUUACCGACCCGUCUUGAAACACGG
rnacentral:rRNA from 1 species